CUCUGGAAGAAAACACAUGAAUGACGGGUAAUGUUGUCUAGCAUCUCCUUUCAUUGCUCCUGAGAAACUGGAGAAACUUUGCAACACAUUGCAGCCAUUCAAUUAUUCCUUUAAAGGUCACAUAUUCAAAAUCCUCUUCCCCAUGUUCCUCUAACUCUAACAUGUGUCUCUAGUCUGUCUACAAACCCCCCAAUGAUGAGAAAAGUCCAUCCUCUCCGUCUUCUGCCUGCUCCACUUUUCAGAAAAUGUGUGCUCAAACAGGCCGUUUGGAGAUUUCCCCCUUAUGACAUCACAAAGGGCAGUAGCACCUCCCCCAAGUGGGUGACACUCCCACAGCUAGGUGUUUGUUCUGCCCUCUGAGUCUGCCUUCUCACCGUAAACAAUAGGACAUGGAGCGAGAAAGCACCGAGACACCCAAGCACUUCCAGAGAGGGGGCGUGGUCAGACACAGCUCAUUUACAUAUUUAAAGGUACAGACACAGAAACAGCCUGUUCUGAGCAGGGCUGAAAUAGAGGGGUUUAUAGACAUGAUCAAAUACAGGAUCAGAGUGGAUUUAGAACAAGAAACUUCACACACAUGUUUUGAGGAGCUCUGAGACUUAUUUAAACUGAAGAAGAGGAGGAGAAUAUGUGACCUUUAAGUUACAAUCAGCUGUGGACUUUAAUCUGACGGACAGUUAGAGGAGAGUCUUCUUCAGUGUCUCUUCGUGUAGAGGAGUCAUCAAGAGUUCCGAUAUUGCUUCAGAAGUUUGGAUUGUACUGUAUAACAUUAUAUUCACCUGAUUGCACCCUAAUGCUUGUCUGUAAAGUAUGUAUGUGUAUAUACUUAAUCACACGUCUUUAUUUGAUGAACAGGAGUCCCAGUAUUAGUAGUGGACCGUCUGUUGUCCAGUAUAACACACAGCUAGAAGCCUCAGCUAACAAAUUGUAAUAUGAGGGGGUUCCAGGUUUUUGGGACUCUGGAAACUGAUGUUAUGUUGUCCUUGGUUCACCGCCCGACCUCUGUGUCAUACAGUAUGUUACCCUUGUUUACAGUCUUGCUACGCCAUGUUCCUCCACGUGUGAGUGUCUGCUUCUGAAUAACUGUAGCCUGCGAUGCUUCAAAGAGCGGAGAAUUGAGUUCACUUUAUUUCACAUGCUGAUAUCAAGUCAGUCAGUUUAUUGUAAAUAGUUUUCCACUAUAGUGUAUCAGUCACUGAGGUAAUAAAGAAGUAAGAUCA